AUACGGAGGAUCCGGGCGUUAUCCGGAUUUAUUGGGUUUAAAGGGAGCGUAGGUGGGAUAUUAAGUCAGCUGUGAAAGUUUGGGGCUCAACCUUAAAAUUGCAGUUGAUACUGGUUUCCUUGAGUACGGUAUAGGUGGGCGGAAUUCGUGGAGUAGCGGUGAAAUGCUUAGAUAUCACGAAGAACUCCGAUCGCGAAGGCAGCUCACCGGGCCGGAACUGACACUGAUGCUCGAAAGUGCGGGUAUCAAACAGGAUUAGAUACCCUGGUAGUCCUCACAGUAAACGAUGAAUACUCGCUGUUUGCGAUACACUGUAAGCGGCCAAGCGAAAGCGUUAAGUAUUCCACCUGGGGAGUACGCCGGCAACGGUGAAACUCAAAUGAAUUGACGGGG
rnacentral:rRNA from 1 species